GAUGAACGCUAGCGGCAGGCUUAAUACAUGCAAGUCGAGGGGCAGCACGGGUAGCAAUACCUGGUGGCGACCGGCAAACGGGUGCGGAACACGUACGCAACCUUCCCGAAACUGGUGAAUAGCCCUCCGAAAGGAGGAUUAAUACACCGUAAGAUAAUGGAGUGGCAUCACUUUAUUAUUAUAGCUACGGCGGUUUUGGAUGGGCGUGCGCCUGAUUAGGUAGUUGGCGGGGUAACGGCCCACCAAGCCUGCGAUCAGUAACUGGUGUGAGAGCACGACCAGUCACACGGGCACUGAGACACGGGCCCGACUCCUACGGGAGGCAGCAGUAAGGAAUAUUGGUCAAUGGACGCAAGUCUGAACCAGCCAUGCCGCGUGAAGGAUGAAGGGCCCUCUGGGUUGUAAACUUCUUUUAUCUGGGACGAAAAAGGGAUUCUUCCCACUUGACGGUACCAGAGGAAUAAGCACCGGUAACUCCGUGCCAGCAGCCGCGGUAAUG
rnacentral:rRNA from 1 species